CGCCUGGGGAGUACGGCCGCAAGGUUGAAACUCAAAGGAAUUGACGGGGGCCCGCACAAGCGGUGGAGCAUGUUGGUCAAUUGGAUGAUACGCCAAGAACCUUACCAGGGUUUGACAUCAUUGGGACAGCUGGUGAAAGCCAGUCUCCGUAGCAAUACGGCCCUUUGACAGGUGGUGCAUGGUUGUCGUCAGCUCGUGUCGUGAGAUGUUGGGUUAAGUCCCGCAACGAGCGCAACCCUCGCCGGAUGUUGCCAUCGGUAACGCCGGGAACUCUUCCGGGACUGCCUGAGUAAUCAGGAGGAAGGAGGGGACGACGUCAAAUCGGCAUGCCCCUUACACCCUGGGCUGCAAACGUGCUACAAUGGCCGGUACAAAGGGUUGCCAAACCGCGAGGUGGAGCCAAUCCCCCAAAGCCGGUCCCAGUUCGGAUUGGGUGUCUGCAACUCGACCCCAUGAAGUCGGAAUCGCUAGUAACCGUGGAUCAGCAACGCCGCGGUGAAUACGUUCCCGGGCCUUGUACACACCGCCCGUCAAGUCACGAAAGCUGGCAGGACCCGAAGUCCGCUGCGGCGGCCGAAGGUCAGGCCAGUGAUUGGGACU
rnacentral:rRNA from 1 species